rnacentral:lncRNA from 1 species
AAAUAUAGGCAUUAUAUGUAACUUACAGUUCUUUGAAGGCAUAGAAGGUUUGGGUUCUAUUUCUUGGAUGUGUAUAAUAACAAUAGUGACUAAUAUCAAGGAUUUAUUACAUGCUGACAACUGCAGGUUUUUAUGUCCUUUUUACUUGCAUUUUACAUGUAUGCUUACUUUCUCCUGAUGACAGAGAUUAUAAGGGAGAAGAUAGGGCACUAAUCCAGAGCUAUUUGAUUCCACAAUCCAACCCGACCACCAUACAGUACCACCUCUCCAUCUUGCUAUAUUGAGUAUAUAAAUAUAUGAUUUCUCAAUGUCUGUCUUUAUUAUUGAAACACAUUCACAGUUAAGUUACUCUGAAAUGUCUCACAGCAUAAGUAAAACUAUGCUGUGUAACACACUACCUUUCACAAAAUCAUUAGAACAAUAGUAAUCAAAACAAUUGAGUUUGAGCUGUCCCUGAAAUGUGAACUAGAGAGAAGCCUGUGUGGAUUUGUCUCUCCUCAGAGGUAUAAGAUAACCACUUGUGACUCUAGGCUCACUCCCCUGGGCGAGUUUCAGAAACCAAAUCUUUAGGGUGUCUGGGCCCACUGUGAAUGCAAACACACGCACACACACAUCACCAAAAAAGAAUCCUCCAUUGGCCUACCCCAGAGAUGCUCUGUUUCACAGGUUAGAUACUUAUUUCCUUUAAACAUUUCUGUAUCAUGCUCUGUAACUUCUUACCUCAUAUCCAUGUUCUGUCUUAGGAACAGAAAUUUUUGAAACAGUAAAGUGAGGGCUAGCUGUGCGGGGGCGUUUAUCCACAUGGACUAAUCUUUCCGUUGUUAGAUCUGUAGUUUUCUUGAUCUGCAUUGAAAUGAAACUCAGUGAUACCAUUGAUCACCAGAUGACCACAGCAGUGAGGCUUGCUUUACCAUGAACAAGGUGAAAAAUCAGCAGUUAAACAAUUAGAUGGAACACUAGAAGCACAAUUCACGACGGAUGAAAAGUUAUGAGAGUUGAUGAUGAAAUGGGAUGAAACAAUACUUUUCACCUCCAUAGCAUCAGUUUUCAUCUCUUCUCGAAAAAGAUGUAUUUGUUUUUGUUUAAUAGUGAAUCCUUCUCUAGUCAUUGGCGGUGUGGCUGGUUCAGCAGAUUUUGCAGUGGUAACUACUACUUCAGGUA